GACGAACGCUGGCGGCGUGCUUAACACAUGCAAGUCGAACGGAAAGGCCCCUUUGGGGGUACUCGAGUGGCGCACGGGUGCGUAACACGUGAGUAACCUGCCCUUGACUUCGGGAUAACUUCAGGAAACUGGGGCUAAUACCGGAUAGGAAUCCUUGCUGCAUGGUGGGGGUUGGAAAGCUUCGGCGGUUUUGGAUGGACUCGCGGCUUAUCAGCUUGUUGGUGGGGUAGUGGCUUACCAAGGCUUUGACGGGUAGCCGGCCUGAGAGGGCGACCGGCCACAGUGGGACUGAGAUACGGCCCAGACUCCUACGGGAGGCAGCAGUGGGGAAUAUUGCACAAUGGGCGGAAGCCUGAUGCAGCAACGCCGCGUGCGGGAUGACGGCCUUCGGGUUGUAAACCGCUUUCAGCAGGGGCGAAGCUUGUGGUGACGGUACCUGCAGAAGAAGCACCGGCUAACUACGUG
rnacentral:rRNA from 1 species